UACGUAGGGGGCUAGCGUUGUCCGGAAUCAUUGGGCGUAAAGAGCGUGUAGGCGGUCCGGUAAGUCCGCUGUGAAAGUCGGGGGCUCAACCCUCGAAUGCCGGUGGAUACUGUCGGGCUAGAGUCCGGAAGAGGAGAGUGGAAUUCCCGGUGUAGCGGUGAAAUGCGCAGAUAUCGGGAAGAACACCUAUGGCGAAGGCAGCUCUCUGGGACGGUACUGACGCUGAGACGCGAAAGCGUGGGGAGCGAACAGG
rnacentral:rRNA from 1 species